GUCUAUAGCCAUGCCACCCUGAACAAGCCCGAUGUCUGAUCUUGGAAGCUAAGCAGGGUCGGGCCUGGUUAGUACUUGGAUGGGAGACCACCUAGGAAGACCAGGUGCUGUAGGCA
rnacentral:rRNA from 1 species